rnacentral:rRNA from 1 species
AUACGUAGGGGGCGAGCGUUGUCCGGAAUGAUUGGGCGUAAAGGGCGCGUAGGCGGCCCGGUAAGUCUGGAGUGAAAGUCCUGUUUUUAAGAUGGGAAUUGCUUUGGAUACUGUCGGGCUUGAGUGCAGGUGAGGUAAGUGGAAUUCCCAGUGUAGCGGUGAAAUGCGUAGAGAUUGGGAGGAACACCAGUGGCGAAGGCGACUUACUGGACUGUAACUGACGCUGAGGCGCGAAAGUGUGGGGAGCAAACAGGAUUAGAUACCCUGGUAGUCCACACUGUAAACGAUGAAUGCUAGGUGUAGGGGGUAUCGACCCCUUCUGUGCCGCAGUCAACACAAUAAGCAUUCCGCCUGGGGAGUACGGCCGCAAGGUUGAAACUCAAAGGAAUUGGCGGGG